CCAUGGACCGGAGUAACCUGGUGACAGAUAAUAUAUAACUGCAAACUUUUAUAUACAAAAUAUUACAAAGUGUAUAUUAACAUUUUGAGUAAUAAAUAAAUGCAAUUGUUUAGAUGGGUGGAUGUUUGCAGCCCAAACUGCUAAAUGGAUCCAGCUGAAAGUCAUAUAUGUACUUAGUCUGCAAGAACACAUAGGAUACUUUUUAAUUCAGAAACAGUUAUGGUUCCGAUGAGAUCCGAUGUAACUGUUGGGAUUCUAAUUCAACGCUGAAACAUUACAGGUUUCUUGAGAGAUAAAUAGUUUUUUGUUUUUCAAUACUGCGGGAAACAGCUAGUAAUUUGGUACAAAAUUUAAUAAAUUUAUGAAACGGUUGGUGUUGUUUUUUUUUUAAUUUCGGUGUUGCAGCACACUAGCGCACUUAAAGA